GGAAUAUUGCACAAUGGGCGCAAGCCUGAUGCAGCCAUGCCGCGUGUAUGAAGAAGGCCUUCGGGUUGUAAAGUACUUUCAGCAGUGAGGAAGGAGGUAUCGUUAAUAGCGGUAUCUUUUGACGUUAGCUGCAGAAGAAGCACCGGCUAACUCCGUGCCAGCAGCCGCGGUAAUACGGAGGGUGCGAGCGUUAAUCGGAAUUACUGGGCGUAAAGCGCAUGCAGGUGGUUUGUUAAGUCAGAUGUGAAAGCCCGGGGCUCAACCUCGGAAUUGCAUUUGAAACUGGCAGGCUAGAGUACUGUAGAGGGGGGUAGAAUUUCAGGUGUAGCGGUGAAAUGCGUAGAGAUCUGAAGGAAUACCGGUGGCGAAGGCGGCCCCCUGGACAGAUACUGACACUCAGAUGCGAAAGCGUGGGGAGCAA
rnacentral:rRNA from 1 species